rnacentral:lncRNA from 10 species
ACACCUGUGCUUGCAAAAGUGGCAGAAGCACUGAGCAUCUUGUGACUAAUCUGGAAAAUUGUCUACUUCAAGCAAAGUGACUUUCAGUGUUUCAGUCAAUGCCACCACCAUAUCCAGAGGCAACCACUGUUCUGAAAUUCUUCCAUCAUAGUUUAGUUUAUUCUGCUCUAGAGGGUAUAUAAAUGGAAUCACAAGGCUGGAGUGCAAUGGCGUGAUCUCGGCUCACCGCAACCUCUGCCUCCCAGGUUCAAGCGAUUCUCCUGCCUCAGCCUCCCAAGUAGCUGGGAUUACAGGCAAGUGCCACCACCCCUGGCUAAUUUUGUAUUUUUAGUAGAGACAGGGUUUCUCCACGUUGAUCAGGCUGGUCUCGAACUCCCAACCUCAAGUGAUCCUCCGGCCUUGACCUCCCAAAGUGCUGGGAUUACAGGUGUGAGCCACUGUGCCCAGCCAAUUUUUUUAUUUUCUAAGUGUAAACACUUUGCUUGGCAUGAACCACACAGAAACACACUGGGACCUCAGCACACAUUCAAGGAUCAAAUUCAUCCUAGGGGAGAGCUCAGAAAAUAGGACACAAAAUAUGUUUGAGUAUGGAGAAAGGCCUACAGCUUUGAGGGCUGGAUGGUACCUAGCUUCACCCAUUGGGGUCAAAAUUGUUGACCUGUGUUGCCAGUAGCUUCCAUGAUGGUUUACUACAAGUACACAUUGAUAUGUGGGGCCAGACAGAGGCAAGAGAGAAGAGUAAAAGGCAAGUGAAAGAUCUAGUUUCCCAUAUGUGUGUCAGGUUUCCAUAAAUGAGAUGGUUUAUGAAAGAGUCCCUAGACCUCAGGACCCAUCACUUAGCUUGAAGUCCUCUCAGUCCAGAGCUGCACCAGUCUUUCAAAUCAGCCAGUCCCAUCUUCCCUGGGCAAGGCCUGUGAACAGAAAAUUAAUUACAUUCAUGUCCCCAACAGAUACAUUGAAGGACUUCCACUCCACAUUGUGAGAAAAUGACAUAUUUUGAUAACCCAAUAAGUAUAGCAUGAGCCAAUAAGUCACAGCAGAAGGAGCAAUUUAGGAGAUUGUUUUUAAACAUGUGACUGAAUUAUUGAGAAAUGGAUAAUAAAUUUAUUUGCUAAUGUAGACAGAAAGGGAAAAAUCCACAUUGCUUUUUCAGCCCAUUACUGAACUAACUUCUGAGUUUCAAGACAUCUUUUUCUUUUCUAAAAGGUGACCAGGAACAUAGAUUUCUGGGCCAGUCUAACAGGAGCCCAAAGCACCCUUGGCCUAGGCCCCAGAUGGCCUCUCCUAAACACUUCACAGCCCUCAUAUACGGAAGCCCCAUUGCAGCAAUGAUUAGCCAACAAGCAGAAUGAUAAGGCAAAAUGAGGACAUUUCCUCAAGACUUUUGGUUUUGGGGGCCUGCAAAUGUGAGAUACAGGCUUCAGAAGCAGCCUGAGGGCUCUGGGGCUUAAAGAAAAAGUUGGACAGUUAGCUCACCACUGACAAGCCCUACUCCCCUCUCCAUCCUCAUUUAACACUGGGCCUAGCUGGCUACUGCCUGCCUAAGGCGACAGGCAGUUAAGUUGUUUCUGAAUGGAACUUGUUGUUUCCAGGAAUCUGGUAGUAAAUCCUUCUUUGAAGGAAAAAAUACCCUAUAAUUCUGCACAUCCGCACUGUGUCAGUUUUCUAUUUUCUCUCUGUGUAUUUUUAACUAUAUAAGUACUAUAUGGAUAUACUCCUGUAAUAACACAAUUGGUACCUAUAACGUAAAAAGACUUUCUUGACCACUGCCUUCUCAUUCUAUUCCCCUCCCCAGAGACAACCACUAAGAUCAGUUUGCUCUAUAUCCCCCAAUGCCUUUUCCUAUUCUUGUUUCUUAUUCUUGCUUCCAUUCUUGUGUAUGUAUAUAUCUAAAUUUAUGAAGUUGUUGGGUGGGAUUUUUCUUUUAUAGAAAUAGUGUCAAGCUACAUAUAGCAUAUUUUCCACUUGCAUUUUCUUCUUAACAAUGUGUCUUAGAGAUUUUUCAUGUCAGUAGAUACAGAGCUAUUUUAUUCUUUUUAAACAGAUAUGUGAUAUUCCCUAAUAGGGCUGAACCCUUCUUAUUCAGUUACCUUUGGUUGGGGAAGAGGUGGUGGAUUAGGUCAAUUUGAGGCAGCAAAGAGCAUUCUUGUCAUACCUUGUUGUGCAUACAGGUUGAGUAUCCCUUAGCUGAAAUGCUUGGGACUAGAAGUGUUUUAGAUUUCGGAUUUUUUGUCAGUUUUUUGGAAUAUUUGCAUUAUUACCAGUUCAGCAUCCCUAACCUGGAAUCUGAAACGCUCAAUUAGCAUUUCCUUUGAGCACCACGUUGGCACUCAAAAAGUUUCUGAUUGUGGAGCAUUUUGAUUUCAAAUUUUUGGACUAGGGAUGCUCAACUUGUAUUUUCAAACAUUUCCCUAGGCUAUAUAUGUAGAAGUAGAAUCGAUAUAAUGAAGAGAAAGCACAUAUGUUAGAUUUUAAUAGAUAUAGCCAAAGUACAUUCCAAAAAGACUGUGCCAAUUUAUACUUCCCAACAGUAAACUAGAGUUUCCAUUUCUCUUCACUCUUAUUAACACUGGAUAUUCACCAUCUUUUUCCAUUUUGCCAAUCUGAUGGGUAAAAUAAUCUCACCUUUUCAAUUUGCUGGGUUUUGUUUGUUUGUUUGUUUUUGUUUGUUUCUUUGUUUUUUUGAGACAGAGUCUUGCACUAUCACCCAGUCUGGAGUGCAGUGGCGCGAUCUUGGCUGACUGCAACCUCCGUCUCCCAGGUUCAAGCGAUUCUCAUGCCUCAGCCACCCGAGUAGCUGAGAUUACAGGUGUGCGCCACCAUGCCUGGCUAAUUUUUUUGCACUUUUAGUAGAGAUGGGGUUUCACCAUGUUGGCCAGGCUGGUCUCACACUCCUGACCUUAAGUGAUCCACCCGCCUUGGCCUUCCAAAUUGCUGGAAUUACAGGCGUGAGACACCAUGCCCAGCCUCAAUUUGCAAUUCCAUGAUUACUACUGAAGUAUAUUUUCAAAAGCCUAGUGAGCUUUGAAGUGUCUAGUCUUAACUUGUCCACUUGCCCGUAUACACAAUAACAUCUUUUCCUUUGUCAGGUUAACCACUCAGGGGUUCAGUUUUGGUUUAUUAUCCUAAAACAUAUUUUAUCCAAUCCACCGUUGAUGGGCACUGGGAUUGAUUCCAUGUCUUUGCUAUUGUGAACAGUGCUGUGAUGAACAUGAGAGUUCAUGUAUCUUUUUGGUAGAACAAUUUGUUUUCUUUUGGAUACAUACCUAAUAAUGGGAUUGCUGAGUUGAAUGAUAGCUCUGUCUAAGUACUUUGAGAAACUGCAAAACUACUUUCCACAGUGGCUGGACAAAUUUACACGCUUACCAACAGUGUGUAAGCAUUCCCUUUUCUCCACAGCUUCGCCAACAUCUGUUGUUUUUUGACUUUUUAAUAAACACUAUUCUGACUGGUGUGAGAUGGUAUCUCAUUGUGGUUUUGAUUUACAUUUCUACGAUGAUGAGUGGUGAUAAGCAUUUUUACAUGUAGUUAUUGGCUGCUUGUAUGUCUUGUUUUGAGAAGCAUCUCUUCACAUCCUUUCCCCAUUUUUCAAUGGGGUCAUUUGGUUUUUGCUUGUUGAUUUGUUUAAGUUCCAUAUAGAUCCUGGAUAUUAGACCUUUGUUGGAUGCAUAGUUUGUGAAUAUAUUCUCCAAUUAUGUAGGUUGUCUGUUUACCCCAUUGAUAGCUUCUUUUGCUGUACAUAAGCUCUUUACUUAAACUUGGUCCCACUUGUCAACUUUUGUUUUUGUGGCAAUUGCUUUUGAGGACUUAGUCAUAAAUUCUUUCCCAUGGUCCAUGUCCAGAAUGGUGUUUCUGAGAUUUUCUUCUAGAAUUUUUAAUAGUUUCAAAUCUUACAUUUAAAUCUUUAGCCCAUCUCCAGUUAAUUUUUGUAGAUGGUGAAAAGUGGAGGUCCAAUUUCAUUCUUCUGCAUAUGGAUAGCCAGCUAUAUAUACCAACACCAUUUAUUGAACAGAAAGUUCUUUCCCCAUUGCUCAAUAAUAUGCUUUUAAACAGACUUUGGGUUUCCUACGGGUGGUUAACAUGCUUUACACUACUUUCUAAUUUUUCCCUACUAAUUUCCCAUUUUGGGCACAGUUGCCUUGACUAGAACUGAGGGACUUUGGGAUACACUGUUCUGAUUUUCCCUCUUUCACCAGAAUUUUGAACUUCAUUUUUCUAUGGCUGGCACACCAGUGUGACUUAUCCACAACCACUCUCUGUAUCCUUUCCUGUUUAUGUCUCAAAGCCAAAGUCAGUUUAUUUCCUUUUCCUGUGGUUUCUAAGACUACUUGUUUAAAGAAGCAAUCAUUCAUAGCCUCCAGAAAAUGCACCACUUCUCAGGGAUAUUAUUCAAAAUAUUUAAGAACCAUAUGGCCAAGACACAGACCAGUAUGACUGGAUGUCUGAAUAGGGCAAACACUGGUCUUAGCAUCAUGCUAACAUCAACUGGCUAAACACCACUCUUUCCUGCAAUUGCUUCUCCAUGACUUUGUCUGCCAAGCACUGUCUCUGCUAUCAAAUCAGCUUUGUCCCCAAAACUUUAUUCAUUAAUUCAACACACAUUUAUCAAGAGGCUCCACAAUUCCUUAUAUUAAGACAUUGUGUUAGAGCAGGCCUUCUUGACCUCAGCACCACUGAAAUUUGGAGCAGGAUAAUUCCUGCCCCCUCGUUGGAGGGAGGGACAUUCCUUUGCAUUGCAGGAUUUGUAGCAGCAACCCUGGCCUCUAUCAGCAUCAUUAUAAUUAGUCAUGAUGAGCAUUUUUUUAAGUUUUAAUUUUUUAUUGUUUUUUAAUCCAAUUUUUUUCAAAUUUUUUUUAUUUCCAUAGGUUUUGGGGGAACAGGUGGUGUUUGGUUACAUGAGUAAGUUCGUUAGCAGUGAUUUGUGAGAUUUUGGUGCACCCAUCACCCGAGUGGUAUACACUGCACCCUGUUUGUAGUCUUUUAUCCCUCACCCACCUCCCACCCUUUCCCCCUGAGUCCCCAAAGUCCAUUAUGUCAUUCUUAUGCCUUUGCAUCCUCAUAGCUUAGUUCCCCCUUAUGAGUGAGAACAUAGAGUGUUGUUUGGUCUUCUAUUCCUGAGUUACUUCACUUAGAAUAAUAGUCUCCAAUCUCAUCCAGGUCACUGCAGAUGCCAUAAAUUCAUUCCUUUUUAUGGCUGAGUACUAUUCCAUCAAAUAUAUAUGUUUCUUUAUCCACUCGUUGACUGAUGGGCAUUUGGGUU